AUGAACGCUAGCGAUAGGCUUAACACAUGCAAGUCGAGGGGCAGCACAAGGUAGCUUGCUAUCUGGGUGGCGACCGGCGCACGGGUGCGUAACGCGUAUGCAACUUGCCCUAUACAGGAGGAUAACCCGUCGAAAGACGGACUAAUACUGCGUAUGCUCACAACUUGGCAUCAAGUGGUGAGGAAAGAAAUUCGGUAUAGGAUAGGCAUGCGUCCCAUUAGCUUGUUGGUGAGGUAACGGCUCACCAAGGCAACGAUGGGUAGGGGGACUGAGAGGUUUAUCCCCCACACUGGUACUGAGACACGGACCAGACUCCUACGGGAGGCAGCAGUGAGGAAUAUUGGUCAAUGGGCGCGAGCCUGAACCAGCCAAGUCGCGUGAAGGAUGACUGUCUUAUGGAUUGUAAACUUCUUUUAUACGGGAAUAACAAGAGUCACGGGUGACUCCCUGCAUGUACCGUAUGAAUAAGCAUCGGCUAACUCCGUG
rnacentral:rRNA from 1 species